rnacentral:rRNA from 1 species
AUGAACGCUGGCGGCGUGCCAAAUACAUGCAAGUCGAGCGAACAGACGAGGAGCUUGCUCCUCUGACGUUAGCGGCGGACGGGUGAGUAACACGUGGAUAACCUACCUAUAAGACUGGGAUAACUUCGGGAAACCGGAGCUAAUACCGGAUAAUAUAUUGAACCGCAUGGUUCAAUAGUGAAAGACGGUUUUGCUGUCACUUAUAGAUGGAUCCGCGCCGCAUUAGCUAGUUGGUAAGGUAACGGCUUACCAAGGCAACGAUGCGUAGCCGACCUGAGAGGGUGAUCGGCCACACUGGAACUGAGACACGGUCCAGACUCCUACGGGAGGCAGCAGUAGGGAAUCUUCCGCAAUGGGCGAAAGCUUGACGGAGCAACGCCGCGUGAGUGAUGAAGGUCUUCGGAUCGUAAAACUCUGUUAUUAGGGAAGAACAAAUGUGUAAGUAACUAUGCACGUCUUGACGGUACCUAAUCAGAAAGCCACGGCUAACUACGUG